ensembl:snoRNA SNORD18 Small nucleolar RNA SNORD18
AAGCCAUGAUGAGGUUCCACUUCAGGUCCGUGUUUCUGAAUCCUGAUUUUAAUUGGAGUCCUGAGCUU